UCAGGACGAACGCUGGCGGCGCGCCUAACACAUGCAAGUCGAACGAGAGAGAGGGAGCUUGCUUCCUCGAUCGAGUGGCGAACGGGUGAGUAACGCGUGAGGAACCUGCCUCAAAGAGGGGGACAACAGUUGGAAACGACUGCUAAUACCGCAUAAGCCCACAACCCGGCAUCGGGAAGAGGGAAAAGGAGCAAUCCGCUUUGAGAUGGCCUCGCGUCCGAUUAGCUAGUUGGUGAGGUAACGGCCCACCAAGGCGACGAUCGGUAGCCGGACUGAGAGGUUGAACGGCCACAUCGGGACUGAGACACGGCCCAGACUCCUACGGGAGGCAGCAGUGGGGAAUAUUGCACAAUGGGGGAAACCCUGAUGCAGCGACGCCGCGUGGAGGAAGAAGGUCUUCGGAUUGUAAACUCCUGUUGUUGAGGAAGAUAAUGACGGUACUCAACAAGGAAGUGACGGCUAACUACGUGCCAGCAGCCGCGGUAAAACGUAGGUCACAAGCGUUGUCCGGAAUUACUGGGUGUAAAGGGAGCGCAGGCGGGCGAUCAAGUUGAAAGUGAAAUCCAUGGGCUCAACCCAUGAACUGCUUUCAAAACUGGUCGUCUUGAGUAGUGCAGAGGUAGGCGGAAUUCCCGGUGUAGCGGUGGAAUGCGUAGAUAUCGGGAGGAACACCAGUGGCGAAGGCGGCCUACUGGGCACCAACUGACGCUGAGGCUCGAAAGUGUGGGUAGCAAACAGGAUUAGAUACCCUGGUAGUCCACACCGUAAACGAUGAUUGGUGGGGUGGUGGGAGAUUGACCCUCUCAGUGCCGCAGUUAACACAAUAAGUAAUCCACCGGGGGAGUACGACCGCAAGGUUGAAACUCAAAGGAAUUGACGGGGGCCCGCACAAGCAGUGGAGUAUGUGGUUUAAUUCGACGCAACGCGAAGAACCUUACCAAGUCUUGACAUCCCUUGACGAUGCUGGAAACAGUAUUUCUCUUCGGAGCAAGGAGACAGGUGGUGCAUGGUUGUCGUCAGCUCGUGUCGUGAGAUGUUGGGUUAAGCCCCGCAACGAGCGCAACCCUUAUGGUCAGUUACUACGCAAGAGGACUCUGGCCAGACUGCCGUUGACAAAACGGAGGAAGGUGGGGAUGACGUCAAAUCAUCAUGCCCUUUAUGACUUGGGCUACACACGUACUACAAUGGCGUUAAACAAAGAGAAGCAAGACCGCGAGGUGGAGCAAAACUCAGAAACAACGUCCCAGUUCGGACUGCAGGCUGCAACUCGCCUGCACGAAGUCGGAAUAGGUAGUAAUCGUGGAUCAGCAUGCCACGGUGA
rnacentral:rRNA from 1 species